CAGAGAAUAGUUUAUAAAAAUUUUAAUUUUGGAGAUUAAAGAUAAGAAAUGGUUCUUUUCUCUGA
rnacentral:tRNA from 2 species